rnacentral:rRNA from 1 species
AGCCGAGCGGUAUAGAUUCUUCGGAAUCUAGAGAGCGGCGUACGGGUGCGGAACACGUGUGCAACCUACCUUUAUCAGGGGGAUAGCCUUUCGAAAGGAAGAUUAAUACCCCAUAAUAUAUUGACUGGCAUCAGUCGAUAUUGAAAACUCCGGUGGAUAGAGAUGGGCACGCGCAAGAUUAGAUAGUUGGUAGGGUAACGGCCUACCAAGUCAGUGAUCUUUAGGGGGCCUGAGAGGGUGAUCCCCCACACUGGUACUGAGACACGGACCAGACUCCUACGGGAGGCAGCAGUGAGGAAUAUUGGACAAUGGGUGAGAGCCUGAUCCAGCCAUCCCGCGUGAAGGACGACGGCCCUAUGGGUUGUAAACUUCUUUUGUAUAGGGAUAAACCUACUCUCGUGAGAGUAGCUGAAGGUACUAUACGAAUAAGCACCGGCUAACUCCGUGCCAGCAGCCGCGGUAAUACGGAGGGUGCAAGCGUUAUCCGGAUUUAUUGGGUUUAAAGGGUCCGUAGGCGGAUCUGUAAGUCAGUGGUGAAAUCUCAUAGCUUAACUAUGAAACUGCCAUUGAUACUGCAGGUCUUGAGUAAAGUAGAAGUGGCUGGAAUAAGUAGUGUAGCGGUGAAAUGCAUAGAUAUUACUUAGAACACCAAUUGCGAAGGCAGGUCACUAUGUUUUAACUGACGCUGAUGGACGAAAGCGUGGGGAGCGAACAGGAUUAGAUACCCUGGUAGUCCACGCCGUAAACGAUGCUAACUCGUUUUUGGGUCUUUAAGAUUCAGAGACUAAGCGAAAGUGAUAAGUUAGCCACCUGGGGAGUACGUUCGCAAGAAUGAAACUCAAAGGAAUUGACGGGGGCCCGCACAAGCGGUGGAUUAUGUGGUUUAAUUCGAUGAUACGCGAGGAACCUUACCAAGGCUUAAAUGGGAAUUGACAGGUUUAGAAAUAGACUUUUCUUCGGACAAUUUUCAAGGUGCUGCAUGGUUGUCGUCAGCUCGUGCCGUGAGGUGUUAGGUUAAGUCCUGCAACGAGCGCAACCCCUGUCACUAGUUGCCAUCAUUCAGUUGGGGACUCUAGUGAGACUGCCUACGCAAGUAGAGAGGAAGGUGGGGAUGACGUCAAAUCAUCACGGCCCUUACGCCUUGGGCCACACACGUAAUACAAUGGCCAGUACAGAGGGCAGCUACCAGGCGACUGGAUGCGAAUCUCGAAAGCUGGUCUCAGUUCGGAUUGGAGUCUGCAACUCGACUCUAUGAAGCUGGAAUCGCUAGUAAUCGCAUAUCAGCCAUGAUGCGGUGAAUACGUUCCCGGGCCUUGUACACACCGCCCGUCAAGCCAUGGAAGUUUGGGGUACCUGAAGUCGGUGACCGUAACAGGAGCUGCCUAGG